rnacentral:rRNA from 1 species
GGCAGACGGGUGAGUAACGCGUGGGAACGUGCCCUUCAGUUCGGAAUAACCCAGGGAAACUUGGGCUAAUACCGGAUACGUCCGUAAGGAGAAAGAUUUAUCGCUGAAGGAUCGGCCCGCGUCUGAUUAGCUAGUUGGUGAGGUAAUGGCUCACCAAGGCGACGAUCAGUAGCUGGUCUGAGAGGAUGAUCAGCCACAUUGGGACUGAGACACGGCCCAAACUCCUACGGGAGGCAGCAGUGGGGAAUAUUGGACAAUGGGCGCAAGCCUGAUCCAGCCAUGCCGCGUGAGUGAUGAAGGCCUUAGGGUUGUAAAGCUCUUUCGCGGGGACGAUAAUGACGGUACCCGCAGAAGAAGCCCCGGCUAACUUCGUGCC